CAAAGAAUUCCACAGAAAACGAAAUGCAGGAAAAGAAAGUUUAAGGUUUACGGUUGGAUAUACAUGUACACUACUUGAAUAAUAUAGGACGGAUCCAAUGUAUUUGAACUUCUUAAAAGAGAUCAUAUUUAGACUUUUUGCUCUUUCCCAAUCAGUCCAUAUCAUUCUGUUUGAUUGGAAUCAAAGAAUGAAUUAAAUACACAUCAGAUCCAUUAUUCAUUGUCUGGUGACCUUACCCUGUGUCCAUGAUUGUAAUUACCUACCAUUGGUAAUAAUUUGCUCAAUUAUUAUGCACACAAUGGCAGAGUCGCCCAACCAUGAAGCAUGGGCUUGGGGUGUACCAAGUGAUUUGGUAGCAGCAAAAUCCUUUGUUCGAGGUUAUCUUCCUAAAAUCUAGCAUCAUGAUAGAUACCUUCCAAUGCAAAAUUUCAAAGUUGUAGAC